rnacentral:rRNA from 1 species
GAGUCCAGCGCUGAAUCCUUUCGCAUUUGAGUGGCGAACUGGAAAUGUAGCGUAUAGGUGUGGCAUGAAUUUGCGUUUCGUGUACGUCGCGCACACCCAAAGUCCCCUUGAGCGGGGCAACUGAUCCGUAGAAGGUGAAAGACCUGUACGGGUGGUGCGACGUGUACGAUCGAUGUUCACACUUUGGAGUCGGGUUGCCUGAGAUCGCAGCCCAAAGAAGGUGGUAGACUUCAUCUAAGACUAAAUAUGACCACAAGACCGAUAGCAAACAAGUACCGUGAGGGAAAGUUGCAAAGAACUUUGAAGAGAGAGUUCAAUAGGACGUGAAACCGAUAGAAUUGAAGCGGAUAGAGUUGACGAAAUUCGUCGACAUUCAGCCGAGCGGAUUGUUGUCCAGCGCUGUUCGCGAUCAACGUACGCUCGCUUGUUGUGUGGUGCUUCGCGCACGCUCGGCAAGUGUUGGGUGCUAUCGUCUGUGCAGCGCUGUGUGUGCACAAUGGUCGACGCUGGGUGCAUUUGUCGAUGAUUUGCGCCGUGCUCAUCGAUAGCUAAAGCAAGUUCCACUGCGGUGUAGCAGGCCAGUUGACGACUGCCGUCGUGUCCGAGACAAUCUCGAGACUGGCGUGCUAGUUGUGGCUGGUGAUUUCUUGUAUGAGGAAGCGCAGUAUGUAUGUGCAAAAGUGGCUAUUGAUGCGCAAGUAUGUGUUGUCGUGUGUUGUUCGUAGAACGCGCAAUUUUCCAAAUCGUAUGUAUUGCCGUUGUGCGCGUGUGUAGCUUCUGUUGCGCACCACCGACAACACGAAUAACUGAUCACGGUGUGAACGUCAAUCAUCUAUCCGACCCGUCUUGAAACACGGACCAAGGAGUUUAGCACAUGCGCGAGUCAUUGAAUAUUGCAAAAUUCAUAGGCGAAAUGAAAGUGAAUUUGUGCUUUUUUGAGAAAGCAUAUUGAUAUGGGAUCGGUGUUUGCUUUUUGGCGUCCUUGUAGGAGUGCAGCGUAUUGCGUGCGACUUUAACGCAUAAACGAUAGCGAGUCGCAUGUGCACUCACGUGUGUGUGUGUGCCUCGUGAGGGGUGCCCAGGCACACGUACGCGUCACCGAGCACCAUAGCCCCGUUUGCAUUUGAGCACAAGAAUUUAUCAUUCUUUGUGUGAUUGACGAAUUGAACGGAGGAAGAGCGUAUGUGCUGAGACCCGAAAGAUGGUGAACUAUGCCUGAGCAGGACGAAGCCAGAGGAAACUCUGGUGGAAGUUCGAAGCGAUUCUGACGUGCAAAUC